CCCUUAGAGUUUGAUCCUGGCUCAGAGUGAACGCUGGCGGCAGGCCUAACACAUGCAAGUCGAACGGCAGCACAGCAGUAGCAAUACUGUGGGUGGCGAGUGGCGGACGGGUGAGGAAUACAUGGGAAUCUGCCCUGUCGUGGGGGAUAACGUAGGGAAACUUACGCUAAUACCGCAUACGACCGGAAGGUGAAAGCGGCGGACCGCAAGGCGUCGCGCGACUGGAUGAGCCCAUGUCGGAUUAGCUAGUUGGCGGGGUAAAGGCCCACCAAGGCGACGAUCCGUAGCUGGUCUGAGAGGAUGAUCAGCCACACUGGAACUGAGACACGGUCCAGACUCCUACGGGAGGCAGCAGUGGGGAAUAUUGGACAAUGGGCGCAAGCCUGAUCCAGCCAUGCCGCGUGAGUGAAGAAGGCCUUCGGGUUGUAAAGCUCUUUUGUCCGGAAAGAAAAGCUCUCGGUUAAUACCCGGGGGUUCUGACGGUACCGGAAGAAUAAGCACCGGCUAACUUCGUGCCAGCAGCCGCGGUAAUACGAAGGGUGCAAGCGUUACUCGGAAUUACUGGGCGUAAAGCGUGCGUAGGUGGUUCGUUAAGUCUGAUGUGAAAGCCCUGGGCUCAACCUGGGAAUGGCAUUGGAUACUGGCGAUCUAGAGUGCGGUAGAGGGCAGUGGAAUUCCCGGUGUAGCAGUGAAAUGCGUAGAGAUCGGGAGGAACAUCUGUGGCGAAGGCGACUGCCUGGACCAGCACUGACACUGAGCACGAAAGCGUGGGGAGCAAACAGAUUAGAUACCCUGGUAGUCCACGCCCUAAACGAUGCGAACUGGGAUGUUGGGUGCACUAGCACUCAGUAUCGGAGCUAACGCGUAAG
rnacentral:rRNA from 1 species